GUUAUACUUCCUUUGUUUCAAAAUUCUUGUCUUAGAUUUGUUUAGAUAUGAAUGUAUUUACUCAAGUUUUAGUAUUUAGAUACAUCUAUUUCUAGACAAAGUUAAGACAAGAAUUUUAGAACGAAGGGAGUAGUUA
rnacentral:pre_miRNA from 1 species